AUUCCCUGCUGUGGUGUCUGGGCAUAGUUUGCCAGAAGAGCACGUGUUGCACCACUCCCUUCUGUUAGCGCCUCACCCCCAGCAAGAAGAUCGCUCGCAUAACCCAUCCUUGCAAUUUCCUCCAAUUCAUGGUCUGAAAUCUGCGGUGCAGGAAGCAUCAGUUUCGAUCUCUUCCUUACUGUUUCUGGAUCAUUCAACUUGUUUGCUUGUAGAAUAGCUGAUGGGGCAUCCUGCCUUUGAGCAAUUUUAUUCUUUGCAAUAUCCUGCUUUCUUAACUGGGCCUCGACAUCAACCCUUCUUUUCCCUUCAAGUUCUUCAAUAGUAGUAGGGAACUUAGGCUGUUCCACUGGUCUAUCUUCAUCAGCAACAUCAAAAAAGCCAGGAGGAGGCCUCUUUUCAAAAGGAAUUUCAGCAUUAUAAUCAAUCCCCUUCCUUUUCCUCUUCCGUUGCCGUGUGUCAAUACCAGCAGCUUUUAGUUCUCUUCUCUUUUGCAAGGAUGCAAGCCUCCUAGCCUCUUCAAGCUGUUUCUCUCUAGCUUUCCUUUUUGCUUUUUUGCCCCUAGUGUUGGCUAACCGAGCUCGUGCUUCAGAAAGCAUUUCCUUUUCAUCUUCAUCCAUAUCAACAGGAUCAGGACGUGCAGGCUUUGACUCUGGAUUUGGGUCAAUCUCACCAGGACGCAAUUUUCGUGGGUCAUCACCAGGUUCAUAGUUCUCAUCCUUAACACAGGCUGCAUCAAGAAGUUUCUCAUAACGUUCAAGGCACUGAGAUGGUGUACGGCCAACAAUUGGGGCAAUUGUUCUCCACUGAGUUGGCAUGAGCUUAGCAAGAUGAAG
rnacentral:misc_RNA from 1 species